GAACUUUCACCUGCUUUGCAAAACUUAAAGGGUCAUCUCGUGGCUUACAGCUCGAAAAGAGUCGAGCACAGGAUCUAGCUUGAAGCACCAGGAAAAGAAAUCAGUUUGAAGAGAGUCCCUAUAUGAACAUGUAUUCUACAAAAUUGAAGCAAUAAAAAAUAUUAAAUUUAUGGUGAAGGCCAGGUGGAAAAAUGGUGGACUCAUUGGUGCUUUAUAAAAGUUUAUAAGGACAAUGCCCCAAAAGAAAUCAGCAGUUUACAAAUGGAUAAUCCAUUUUAAGAAGAAACAUGACAAUGUUGAAGAUGAAUCCCACAGCAUCAGACCCUCCACAUCAAUUUGUGAGGAAAAAAAGUAAUCUUGUUCAUGCCCUAAUUCAAAAGGUUCAAUGAUUAACAGCAGAAACAAUAGCCAGCACCACAGAUAUCUCAACUGAUUUGGCCUACACAAUCCUGACUGAAAAAUUUAAGUUGAGCUAACUUUCCACUCAAUGGGUGCCAAAACCAUUGUGCCCAGGUCAGCUACUGACAAGAACAGAGCUUUCAAAAUUUCACAAAUUUUAAACAAGUGAGAUCAAGAUCCUGAAGCUUUUUUUUUUUUUUUUUUUUUUUUUGAAGAAUUGUAACCAGAAAUGAAACUUGGCUUUACCAGUACAAUCCUGAAGACAAAGCACAAUCAAAGCAAUGGCUACCAAGAGACGGAAGUGGUCCGGUCAACGCAAAGUGAACCAGUCAAGAGCAAAAAUCAUGGCAACCAUUUUUUGGGUUGUUCAAGGCAUUUUGCUUAUUGACUUUCUGGAGGGCUAAAGAAUAAUAGCAUGUGCUUAUGAUGAGAGUGUUUUGAGAAGGUUAGCCAAAGCUUUAGUGGAAAAAUGCCCAGGAAACCUUCACCAGAGAGACCUUUCCACCAUGAUAAAGUUCCUGCUCAUUUCUCUCAUCGAACAAGGGCAAUUUUGCAAGAGUUUCAGUGGAAAAUCACUAGACAUCACCUUACAGUCCCAAUUUGGCUCUUUCUGAAGACUUUUUGUUUCCUAAUCUUAAAAAAUCUUUAAAGGGCACCCAUUUUUCUUCAGUUAAUAACGUAAAAAAGACUGCAUUAACGUGCUUAAAAUCCCCAGACCCUCAGUUCUUUAGGGAUGUACUAAAUAAAUGACUAAUAUCAUUGGUUA